rfam:Drosophila virilis strain TSC#15010-1051.87 Ctg01_13865, whole genome shotgun sequence.
GCCUCUUUAGCUCAAUGGUAGAGCACUGGUCUCGUAAACCAGGGGUCGUGAGUUCAAACCUCACAAGAGGCA